rnacentral:tRNA from 1 species
GGGGAUUUAGCUCAGUGAUAGAGCGCUUGCCUAGGAAGCACAAGGCCCUGGGUUCAGUCCCCA